rnacentral:rRNA from 1 species
CCCGGGCCUUGUACACACCGCCCGUCACAUCAUGAAAGCCGGCUGUACUAGAAGUCCCCGCGCCGACCCUUACGGGGGGCAGGGGCCCAAGGUAUGGCGGGUGAUUGGGGUG